rnacentral:lncRNA from 1 species
GUGUCUCUAGUACAUGCCUCAUCUACACUAUAAUUUUCUAUGUUCAGUGGACCGUUAAAAUGGGAAAAAAACUGUAAUUUGGCAUUAUGAUUAGAAAGAUAAUAUCAUAGAAAACAUGUGUACUAAGUUUCAAGUUGAUUGGACUUCAACGUCAUCAAAAACCUCCUCGACCAAAAACUUUAACCUGAGGUGGGACAGACGGACGAACGAGCAGACGAACGGACGAACAAACGAACGUAUGCACAGACCAGAAAACAUAAUGCCCAUAAAUGGAGCAUAAAAACACUAAUCAAACAUAUGAAUAUCCGGUAAUCGAGCCUGUGUAUAUGGUUACAGAGGAAGCA